CCCGACUUAGCUUAGACUGGCUAGAGCGACGGACUGUAGAUCCGUAGAUCCCCGGUUCAAAUCCGGGAGUCGGGACCA
rnacentral:tRNA from 1 species